UUGAUACUCCCUCUGUCCAGAAUUACUUGUCGGAAAAAUGGAUGUAUCUAGACGUAUUUUAGUUGUAGAUACAUCCAUUUUUAUCUAUUUGGGCGACAGGUAAUUCCGGAGGGAGGGGGUACAUG
rfam:Triticum aestivum genome assembly, contig: Triticum_aestivum_CS42_TGACv1_scaffold_220700_3B